GUGAGGAUGGCUCAGUGGGUAAGAGCACCCGACUGCUCUUCCGAAGGUCCGAAGUUCAAAUCCCAGCAACCACA
rnacentral:tRNA from 1 species